UUAAUUUUUUUUUUUUUCAAAAUUUAAAAUCUUAUCCCCAAAACCUAACUUCUCAACUCUAAACCCUAAACCCUAAACUCUAAACCCUAAACCCUAAACCUUAAACCCUAAACUCUAAACCCUAAACCCCAAACCCUAAACUCUAAACCCUAAACCCUAAACCCUAAACCCUAAACCCUAAACUCUAAACCCUAAACUCUAAACCCUAAACUCUAAACCCUAAACCCUAAAUCCUAAACCCCACC
rnacentral:lncRNA from 1 species